AAAAUUCCACAUAUAGCAAAAUUUAUAUAUGUUCAAAGUAGACCUUGUUGAAUCAAAUACCACACUUUGGACGAAUCAAAGGCUCUUAGCUCAACUUGGAUCUAAGUGAUUUAUAUGAACAUUUUUCACCUAGAAAACACUUCACACACUAAGAUAAUGAUCGUGAAACCUAUAUUCACAUGGGAAUAAUUUGGAUUAUAGCAUAUACACGUAGGAAUGAUGGUUAGAAUUCUA
rnacentral:lncRNA from 1 species